rnacentral:rRNA from 1 species
UUCGGAUUGAAGUCUGAAAUUCGACUUCAUGAAGCUGGAAUUGCUAGUAAUGGCAGGUCAGCAUACUGCCGUGAAUACGUUCCCGGGCCUUGUACACACCGCCCGUCACACCAUGAGAGUUGGGAAUACCCGAAGCCUGUGAGCUAACUGUAAAGAGGCAGCAGUCGAAGGUAGAAUCAAUGAGUCGGGGUGAAGUCGUAACAAGGUACC